CGUAGGUACAGUAUUGUUUAAUAAAAUAUUAUUUGAAUAGUAGUAAUAGAUGUUACGACAAACGUACAAACGGAAACGAAAUUACGAAUACAAAAUUAUCAAACCACAAGCAGAAAUGAAAGAAUACAUAGAUUUACGUGAAAAAUUCUUUGCAGGGAAAAAAAUCACGGACGAGGGAGGAGAGAACUUCACUAUCAAAAACGAAAGGGAAUACAAUGUUUUUCAGAUUUCAACCAACCACGAUCACACGCCUCUAGGGCAAAAACGAAGGGAAAAAUUCAUAACGGGUUUCGGAUCUGAUCCGUACCCACAACAGACAUUCAUUUUUCCUUCACAGUUUAAUUUUCCAAUUUAGUUGCACCGCGAAGUUGUCGGCGAGUCGUAAACCCGAACCUAAGUCGAUAAUAGAUUUCGAGUCAUAUCUAACAAUAAAAAAAUACUAUAGCAAAAUACGACAAAUACAGUUUCUUUCUAUAACAAAAAUUAUUUAAUUUCUUU
rnacentral:lncRNA from 1 species